GAAAANGGGUAGACGCUACGGACUUAAAAUCCGUUGGCU
rnacentral:tRNA from 1 species